rnacentral:rRNA from 1 species
UGCCCUACGGGCGGCUGCAGUGGGGAAUUUUGGACAAUGGGCGCAAGCCUGAUCCAGCAAUGCCGCGUGCAGGAAGAAGGCCUUCGGGUUGUAAACUGCUUUUGUACGGAACGAAAAGCUCUGGGCUAAUACCCUGGGGUGAUGACGGUACCGUAAGAAUAAGCACCGGCUAACUACGUGCCAGCAGCCGCGGUAAUACGUAGGGUGCGAGCGUUAAUCGGAAUUACUGGGCGUAAAGCGUGCGCAGGCGGUUUUGUAAGACAGGCGUGAAAUCCCCGGGCUCAACCUGGGAAUGGCGCUUGUGACUGCAAGGCUGGAGUGCGGCAGAGGGGGAUGGAAUUCCGCGUGUAGCAGUGAAAUGCGUAGAUAUGCGGAGGAACACCGAUGGCGAAGGCAAUCCCCUGGGCCUGCACUGACGCUCAUGCACGAAAGCGUGGGGAGCAAACAGGAUUAGAUACCCUAGUAGUCGU